rnacentral:lncRNA from 1 species
ACUUGUUAAUUCCAUCUUCUUUUCCUGACUAGAAUUAUAUUCCUUACCAAGAAGGGAAAGGGAAAGUUUUGGAUCUUGAGCCAGUCUUUCAGGAUCCAAGAACCAGUGUCGUUUGGAGAGCUCAGGGUAAAAGUGGAAAGCUGAGCAUACAUUGCUCUCAUCACGCAUUGACAAUCUGACCAAAACGUCAGAUCUGGGCUUCUAUUGCUCCUGAUUUCUCUCCUCUGUUCCUACCUUCUCAACCAUUUCAUUUGUCCCGGAGAAGGAUCACAACCGCAAAACGGAGUCCAGAAAUAUCAGUCCAUGGGAUGCCUGGGUGGCUCAGCAGUUGAGUGUCUGCCUUUGGCUCAGGGAAGGAUCCCUGUCCGGUGAUGGAGUCCUGCAUCAGACUCCCUGCAUGGAGCCUGCUUCUUCCUCUCCCUGUGUCUCUGCCUCUCUCUCUCUGUGUGUAUCUCUCGUGAAUAAAUAGACUUUAAAAAAAAAAAAAAAAAAAGAAGAAGAAGAAGAAGAAAAGAAAAGAAAUAUCAGUCCACAAUGGAUUGGAAAUUCUAAAAACCGGUCCUUCAGGAGCACUUGGGUAGCUCAGUCAGCUUAGCAUGUACCUUCAGCUUAGGUCAUGAUCCCAGUGUUCUGGGAUCAAGGGAUUGGGCUCCUUGCUAAGCUGAGAGACUGCUGCUCCCUCUCCCUCUGACUGCCCCUCCCCCUGCUUUCUCUCUUUCUGUCAAAUAAAUAAAUAAAAUCUUUAAAUAAAUAAGUAAGAAAUUAAAAACUAAUCCUUCACCCCAGAUAAUUUGACAAGCAUUGGUCUGAAGUCCAUCUCCCCUUGCCUACUUCUGCACAUUCUCACACACAAAAUGUACACAUGGUGAAGAAAAAGGUUAAAAACGCUUUUGCGGAACUAUGUUAAUUACAAUGUGAAAAAAGUUGAGUGACAUGGAAAAAUUAUCCUGACAUAUGUAGAAAAAAAGCAGAUUACAGAAAACAAUGUAAAGUAUAACCUUGAAUUUGCAAAAUGGAUUUAUGAAUAGCAGAAUAUGGAGGGUGGUAUCUCUAGCAUAGAGUAUCAGGUUAAUAUCUGAAGAAUAAAUGGUGGAGCUUUUUUUUUUCAUUUCCUUUUUUCAGCUUAACUAUAUUUUCCACAAUGGACAUAUAAUAUUUUGUAAUGUAAAAAUCUAAUGCAUAGUAUCACCUUUUAUUUGGAAGUUUACUGAAAGGGAAAAUUAAGACCAUGCUCUGUUUUGGUCUUUGCCUUCAUGGUUCCAUUCAGUUUAGAUUGUUGGUUAAUAAUUAAUUUUUCUAUAAAGGAAAGGAAUAAUAUUGCUUCAAAUAAUACUUGUUUAAAAAGCAAGUUUCAGUUGUUUUAAUCCAACAGAAUAUUUUCCUAUUUUUUACAAAUAAAAUAUCUGAAAAAUUUGCAACUGAACUUCUGCUUCUGGAUCAUAAAUGGUG